UACGAAGGGGGCUGGCGUUGUUCGGACUUACUGGGGGUAAAGCGUAUGCAGGCGGACUUUUAGGUCGGGGGUGAAAUCCCGAGGCUCAACCUCGGAACUGCCUUCGAUACUGGAAGUCUUGAGUCCGGGAGAGGUGAGUGGAACUCCGAGUGUAGAGGUGAAAUUCGUAGAUAUUCGGAAGAACACCAGUGGCGAAGGCGGCUCACUGGCCCGGUACUGACGCUGAGAUACGAAAGCGUGGGGAGCAAACAGG
rnacentral:rRNA from 1 species